rnacentral:rRNA from 1 species
AGCGGCGGAUGGGUGAGUAACACGUGGGGAACCUGCCCCUAAGUCUGGGAUACCAUUUGGAAACAGGUGCUAAUACCGGAUAAUAAAGCAGAUCGCAUGAUCAGCUUUUGAAAGGCGGCGUAAGCUGUCGCUAAGGGAUGGCCCCGCGGUGCAUUAGCUAGUUGGUAAGGUAACGGCUUACCAAGGCGACGAUGCAUAGCCGAGUUGAGAGACUGAUCGGCCACAUUGGGACUGAGACACGGCCCAAACUCCUACGGGAGGCAGCAGUAGGGAAUCUUCCACAAUGGACGCAAGUCUGAUGGAGCAACGCCGCGUGAGUGAAGAAGGUUUUCGGAUCGUAAAGCUCUGUUGUUGGUGAAGAAGGAUAGAGGUAGUAACUGGCCUUUAUUUGACGGUAAUCAACCAGAAAGUCACGGCUAACUACGUGCCAGCAGCCGCGGUAAUACGUAGGUGGCAAGCGUUGUCCGGAUUUAUUGGGCGUAAAGCGAGCGCAGGCGGAAAAAUAAGUCUAAUGUGAAAGCCCUCGGCUUAACCGAGGAACUGCAUCGGAAACUGUUUUUCUUGAGUGCAGAAGAGGAGAGUGGAACUCCAUGUGUAGCGGUGGAAUGCGUAGAUAUAUGGAAGAACACCAGUGGCGAAGGCGGCUCUCUGGUCUGCAACUGACGCUGAGGCUCGAAAGCAUGGGUAGCGAACAGGAUAAGAUACCCUGGUAGUCCAUGCCGUAAACGAUGAGUGCUAAGUGU